AUUGAACGCUGGCGGCAUGCUUUACACAUGCAAGUCGAACGGUAACAGGGUGCUUGCACCGCUGACGAGUGGCGAACGGGUGAGUAAUGCGUCGGAACGUGCCGAGUAGUGGGUGAUAACGCAGCGAAAGUUGUGCUAAUACCGCAUACGUACUGAGGUAGAAAGUGGGGGACUUUCGGGCCUCACGCUAUUCGAGCGGCCGACGUCUGAUUAGCUAGUAGGUGAGGUAAAGGCUCACCUAGGCGACGAUCAGUAGCGGGUCUGAGAGGAUGAUCCGCCACACUGGGACUGAGACACGGCCCAGACUCCUACGGGAGGCAGCAGUGGGGAAUUUUGGACAAUGGGCGAAAGCCUGAUCCAGCCAUGCCGCGUGUCUGAAGAAGGCCUUCGGGUUGUAAAGGACUUUUGUCAGGGAGGAAAUCCCUAAUGCUAAUAACACUGGGGGAUGACAGUACCUGAAGAAUAAGCACCGGCUAACUACGUGCCAGCCGCCGCGGUAA
rnacentral:rRNA from 1 species